rnacentral:lncRNA from 1 species
GUGGCUCUUCUGUGCUCAUUGCUGAAGGCAGGGAUCCUGUCUCCAGACUGCACCCUUGACUCGCCUUAAAGGAACAAAGAAUCCAUUUAUGACGUUUCUCGAGCACCUAUCAGGCUGGGCGCUGAGCCGGUGGUGUGCACACGGGCAAUCUCGAGGGCCCUGGGCCCCCGCUAUAAGCUCCCCGUGUGUGGCAGAGCCUCCGGGAGAUCCUCCCGCCCUGCCUUCGUUUGAGAGGAGCUGCUGCAUGACUGGAGUGGGAGCUCCCUGCCUCUCUCUGGCCCCCUCAGUUGAGUGACAGGCUGAUGGGACUGUCCAGUCU